GCCGCAAUCCCCUUGAUCCUCUGGAGCUAGGGAGAGCUUCAAGGUUUUCCUCCUGAUCCCUCCCGUAUCCCCCUCAAGGCCAAGUACACGGAUGGGCCGUGGUGGCGCUAGACCGCAGUAAGGAACGCCUUCCCUUCCGGACUCCUCGAGAACACGCGCACACCCCUGACUGCGGCUGCAAAACGUGAUGUAGCGUUCCGAGGGCCUGGGGCGGCUCGGUUGCGGCCACUUCUCAAAGAGAUUUAAAUGGAUCCCCCCCCACCUCCCCGCCCAGACUAACGACCUGCGCCUGGGGAUGUCCCUGCCUGUUACUUCUGUCCGCCUUAGCACCAUCUGGACCGCGGGGUCUCCUGCCCAGGCCUCACUUCCAGCCGGGUUGUCCACAAGCGCAGAAAGAGCAGACAUUGUUCACGCAGGGGAGGGGGCCCGGGGACCUGGAGACAGAGCCUUGGCCGACAAGCCGCCGGGUCCCCCAGAGGGCCGCCCCGAGGGAAGUCUCAGGGACCAGGACCCAGGAGCCAUCUGACCCAGACCCGGCGCCCUCUCGGGGAGCUGGCCACUCUGCUGGUUUCAACCGUGAAGUUUAGAAAUAAAAGUGCGCUAGAUGGCCUUGCUUGGACUUUGAAGGAGCCACAGCAAACUUAAGUGGCCGCAAGGUACCUGAGCAUCGCCUGUGUGUGUCCCACACACCCUCCUGUCCCCGUGUGCCUCUGAGAUGGCUCCCAGAGGGCAGAACCAUCCAUCAAAGCCGGGCAGGCCUCCAGCUCAGAAGAACCUUAGGCAAUUACAGCCCAAUAAUAGUAUGGAGGGACCAGGAGACUCUCUGAAAAGGAGCAAUCAGACUGAAGAGCCAGGGCGGAAGAAGAAGGUGCGAGUCCAGCAUCCCUGACCAUGCGGAGCCCAUCACGGCGUUUGUAAAUGGCAGUGAUGAAUGAGCAUGCUGUGCAUAUAUGUCACCACGCCCGGCCUUCUCCCCUCCUUCCCCUCACGUUCUCUCUCCAGGAUAAAAGAUGCUUGGCGCUAAAGAACCCUUGUCUCUUCUAUUCAGAACUGGGGGAAACUGACAAACUCCAUUCUAGUUCAUGAGACCCUGCGGUGAAUUAUGGG